rnacentral:rRNA from 1 species
GAUGAACGCUGGCGGCGUGCCUAAUACAUGCAAGUCGAGCGAACGGACGAGAAGCUUGCUUCUCUGAUGUUAGCGGCGGACGGGUGAGUAACGCGUGGAUAACCUACCUAAAAGACGGGGAUAACUAGGGGAAACGGGCGCUAAUACCGGAGAAUAUUUUGAACCGCAGGGUUGGAUGGUGAAUGACGGUCUUGCCGGCGCUUAUGGAUGGAUCCGAGCUGUUUUAGCUAGUUGGUAGGGUAGUGGCUUACCAAGGCAAUGACGCGUGGCCGACCUGAGAGGGUGACCGGCCACAGUGGGACUGCGAUACGGCCCAGACUCCUACGGGAGGCAGCAGUGGGGAAUAGUGCACCAUGGGCGGAAGCCUGAUGCAGCAACGCCGCGUGCGGGAUGACGGCCUUCGGGUUGUAAACCGCUUUCGCCUGUGACGAAGCGUGAGUGACGGUAAUGGGUAAAGAAGCACCGGCUAACUACGUG